UAGGGAAUCUUCCGCAAUGGACGCAAGUCUGACGGAGCAACGCCGCGUGAGUGAAGAAGGAUUUCGGUUCGUAAAACUCUGUUGUUAGAGAAGAACAGCGCAUAGAGUAACUGUUAUGCGUGUGACGGUAUCUAACCAGAAAGCCACGGCUAACUACGUGCCAGCAGCCGCGGUAAUACGUAGGUGGCAAGCGUUGUCCGGAUUUAUUGGGCGUAAAGCGAGCGCAGGCGGUCAAUUAAGUCUGAUGUGAAAGCCCCCGGCUCAACCGGGGAGGGUCAUUGGAAACUGGUUGACUUGAGUGCAGAAGAGGAGGGUGGAAUUCAAUGUGUAGCGGUGAAAUGCGUAGAUAUAUGGAGGAACACCAGUGGCGAAGGCGACUCUCUGGUCUGUAACUAACGCUGAGGCUCGAAAGCGUGGGUAGCAAACAGG
rnacentral:rRNA from 1 species